rnacentral:lncRNA from 1 species
GCGCAAUCUCGUGGCAGUUCUUUGAUCUCCCUUAGCACCAUUUUGCAUCGUCGGGUCCUGCAUCAUCUCCGGCCUUCUCUCUUCAUGUUUGACCAACAGUUUGCCGGCGAGAUGCGCGCAAAUCCCAAUCUUGCGGCACUCAUCCUUGUUCUCCUUGACCGUCUCCACUAACUUCUUGAACUCUAGUGCCAGUUGAACGAUAUGGACUGGGGUGGGGAUCAAUAAAUACAUCGCCCGCAAUCGCCUCACCUCCCCUGAUGUCCACGAUGAACCAACAAAUCAUAGCAAGUGAUGAAGUGGGAAAACGAUUCAAGACCUUGGUGGAAUGAAAAAACCAAAAUAGUGACAUGAGUUUCUUGCCUGAGUCAGCAAUCAGAGAAUGAAAUCGGCGCCUAGGGUCUGCAGAGCACCGCAGACCUGGGUGAGGGCGACGAGAAGCGGC